rnacentral:rRNA from 1 species
GUUGAACGCUGGCGGCGUGCCUAAUACAUGCAAGUCGAGCGAUCGGACCAGAAGCGUGGUUCUCUGAUGGUAGCGGGGGGCGGGUGAGUAACAAGUGGGCAACCUACCUGUGAGACACGGAUCGCAUGGGGAAACCAGAGCUCAUAAGGGAUAAGAUUGUAAACCGGGUGGCUCAAAAGUUAAAGCCAGUCUUGCUGCCACUGAUAGAUGGAUCCGCGCUGCAUUAGCUAGUUGGUCAGGUAACGGCUUACCAAGGCGACGAUGCGUAGCCGGACUGAGAGGGCGAUCGGCCACACUGGAACUGAGACACGGUCCAGACUCCUACGGGAGGCAGCAGUGGGGAAUCUUGCGCAAAGGGCGAAAGCCUGACGGAGCAAUGCCGCGUGCGUGAUGAAGGUCUUCGGAUCGUAAAACGCUGUUAUUCGGGACGAAAAGCCGUCUACUUAUACGUGAAGAUCAUGACGGUACCGUAUGAGAAAGCACCGGCUAACUACGUG